rnacentral:rRNA from 1 species
GACGAACGCUGGCGGCGUGCUUAACACAUGCAAGUCGAACGGAAAGGCCCUGCUUUUGUGGGGUGCUCGAGUGGCGAACGGGUGAGUAACACGUGAGUAACCUGCCCUUGACUUUGGGAUAACUUCAGGAAACUGGGGCUAAUCCCGGAUCGGAGCUCCUGCUUCAUGGUGGGGGUUGGAAAGUUUCGGCGGUUGGGGAUGGACUCGCGGCUUAUCAGCUUGUUGGUGGGGUAGUGGCUUACCAAGGCUUUGACGGGUAGCCGGCCUGAGAGGGUGACCGGCCACAUUGGGACUGAGAGACGGCCCAGACUCCUACGGGAGGCAGCAGUGGGGAAUAUUGCACAAUGGGCGGAAGCCUGAUGCAGCAACGCCGCGUGCGGGAUGACGGCCUUCGGGUUGUAAACCGCUUUCGCCUGUGACGAAGCGUGAGUGACGGUAAUGGGUAAAGAAGCACCGGCUAACUACGUG